rnacentral:rRNA from 1 species
AAGACUCUCGGCAACGGAUAUCUCGGCUCUUGCAUCGAUGAAGAACGUAGCGAAAUGCGAUACUUGGUGUGAAUUGCAGAAUCCCGUGAACCAUCGAGUCUUUGAACGCAAGCUGCGCCCGAAGCCAUUAGGCUGAGGGCACGCCUGCCUGGGUGUUGCACAU